GCAAAGUAGAGAGCAAAAUUCAGAGCUGUCCCCUAGAGCUGGCCAGCUGAGUGGACCUUCUUACCAGGAAAGGUCCAGGACAUAGAGCCCGUUGACCAACUAAGGUCGCAGGAGACGACACAGGUGAGCAAGAAAAUUGGUUCCCAACUCCUUCCUCCAGAAAUAUCUUACUACUCUACUUAUCAAACAAACUCGAUCGAAUGCAACAGGCGCCUCUUGGUUUGGAAAUUGGAACUACUAACCCCAUCGAUCAUGUAGAAAAUAAUGAAGCUAGCGACAACUGUUACUUGUACUACUUGCUAAUUAUGUAAACCCAUGCCAAAGUUGACUUGAUAGAACAGAAUCAAUCUACCCUGCAGGCAGGCAAGCAAGCGUGCAUCCGCCAUUAUCUUUGGAGCUGCUAGAGGGAUCCCAUCAG
rnacentral:lncRNA from 1 species